rnacentral:snoRNA from 1 species
UUGCCUGUACCACUUUUUCUUUUAAUAAUGGAUUUUAGUGGCAGUGCUUAUAGGAUGGAUGAAAAUUGCCAUGAUCUGAAGAGGGAGGAUUUUGUGUGUGUGUCCUCCUAUAUGAAAAUGGUGGACAGGAAACU